UACGUAGGGACCAAGCGUUGUUCGGAUUUACUGGGCGUAAAGGGCGCGUAGGCGGUAUGACAAGUCACUUGUGAAAUCUCCGGGCUUAACUCGGAACGGCCAAGUGAAACUGUCAAACUAGAGUGCGGAAGGGGCAAUCGGAAUUCUUGGUGUAGCGGUGGAAUGCGUAGAGAUCCGGAAGAACACCGGUGGCGAAGGCGGCCUGCUGGGCAGUAGCUGACACUGAGGCGCGACAGCGUGGGGAGCAAACAGG
rnacentral:rRNA from 1 species